GACGAACGCUGGCGGCGUGCUUAACACAUGCAAGUCGAGCGGUAAGGCCCUUUCGGGGGUACGACGAGCGGCGAACGGGUAGGAGUAACAACGUGGGUGGACCUCGCCCUCCAGCUCUGGGAGUAAGACCUCGGGAAACCGGGGUACCGUAAUAACCGGAUAUGACUCCAUGACGCAUGUUGUGGGGUGGAAAGCCUUGUGCGGCUGAGGAUGGGCCCGGCCGGCCUAUCAGCUUGUUGGUGGGGUGAUGGCCUACCAAGGCGACGACGGGUAGCCGGCCUGAGAGGGCGACCGGCCGACACUGGGACUGAGACACGGCCCAGACU
rnacentral:rRNA from 1 species